AAUAGAUACCCCGGUAGUCCACGCCGUAAACGAUGCACGCUAGGUGUUGGGGGGUUUCGAUACCCUCGGUGCCGAAGUUAACACAGUAAGCGUGCCGCCUGGGGAGUACGCUCGCAAGAGUGAAACUCAGAGGAAGUUGACGGGGACCCGCACAAGCAGUGGAGUAUGUGGUUUAAUUCGAAGCAACGCGAAGAACCUUACCAGGUCUUGACAUCUGGGUGAAAGCGUCAGAGAUGGCGCUGGCCUUCGGGACACCCAAGACAGGUGGUGCAUGGUUGUCGUCAGCUCGUGUCGUGAGAUGUUGGGUUAAGUCCCGCAACGAGCGCAACCCUUGAUCUUAGUUGCCAGCACGUAAAGGUGGGCCCUCUAAGAUGACUGCCGGUGACAAACCGGAGGAAGGUGGGGAUGACGUCAAAUCAUCAUGCCCCUUAUGACCUGGGCUACACACGUACUACAAUGGCCGGUACAACGGGGGGCGAAAGAGCGAUCUGGAGCAAAUCCUUAUAAGCCGGUCUCAGUUCGGAUUGCAGG
rnacentral:rRNA from 1 species